UACGGCCACAUCACAUUGAAACACUGGUUCCCUUACGAUCACCGUAGCUAAGCAACGUCGAGCUUGGUCAGAACCUAGAUGGGUGAUUGCGUGGGAAUAUCAAAUGCUA